rnacentral:rRNA from 1 species
UGGGGAAUUUUGGACAAUGGGGGCAACCCUGAUCCAGCCAUGCCGCGUGUCUGAAGAAGGCCUUCGGGUUGUAAAGGACUUUUGUUAGGGAGCAAGUCCUGCAGGUUAAGAGCUAGUAGGGAUGAGAGUACCUAAAGAAUAAGCACCGGCUAACUACGUGCCAGCAGCCGCGGUAAUACGUAGGGUGCAAGCGUUAAUCGGAAUUACUGGGCGUAAAGGGUGCGCAGGCGGUAUUGUAAGCCAGAUGUGAAAUCCCCGGGCUCAACCUGGGAACUGCGUUUGGAACUGCAAUGCUAGAGUGUGUCAGAGGGGGGUGGAAUUCCACGUGUAGCAGUGAAAUGCGUAGAGAUGUGGAGGAACACCGAUGGCGAAGGCAGCCCCCUGGGAUAACACUGACGCUCAGGCACGAAAGCGUGGGGAGCAAACA